rnacentral:rRNA from 1 species
UGGGGAAUUUUGGACAAUGGGCGAAAGCCUGAUCCAGCAAUGCCGCGUGUGUGAAGAAGGCCUUCGGGUUGUAAAGCACUUUUGUCCGGAAAGAAAUCCUUGGCUCUAAUACAGUCGGGGGAUGACGGUACCGGAAGAAUAAGCACCGGCUAACUACGUGCCAGCAGCCGCGGUAAUACGUAGGGUGCAAGCGUUAAUCGGAAUUACUGGGCGUAAAGCGUGCGCAGGCGGUUUGCUAAGACCGAUGUGAAAUCCCCGGGCUCAACCUGGGAACUGCAUUGGUGACUGGCAGGCUAGAGUAUGGCAGAGGGGGGUAGAAUUCCACGUGUAGCAGUGAAACGCGUAGAGAUGUGGAGGAAUACCGAUGGCGAAGGCAGCCCCCUGGGCCAAUACUGACGCUCAUGCACGAAAGCGUGGGGAGCAAACAGGAUUAGAUACCCUGGUAGUCCACGCCCUAAACGAUGUCAACUAGUUGUUGGGGAUUCAUUCCUUAGUAACGUAGCUAACGCGUGAAGUUGACCGCCUGGGGAGUACGGUCGCAAGAUUAAAACUUAAAUGAAUUGACGGGGUCAAGCUG